rfam:Ictidomys tridecemlineatus contig025164, whole genome shotgun sequence.
UGUAGCUCAGUGGUAGAGCACUUGCUUUGCAUGCAUGAGGCACUGGGUUCGAUCCCCAGCA